GCAUAUCAAUAAGCGGAGGAAAAGAAACCAACCGGGAUUGCCUCAGUAACGGCGAGUGAAGCGGCAAGAGCUCAAAUUUGAAAUCUGGCCCCUCUGGGGUCCGAGUUGUAAUUUGCAGAGGAUGCUUCGGGUGCGGUCCCCGUCUAAGUGCCCUGGAACGGGCCGUCAUAGAGGGUGAGAAUCCCGUCUGGGAUGGGCGGCCGCGCCCGUGUGAAGCUCCUUCGACGAGUCGAGUUGUUUGGGAAUGCAGCUCUAAGCGGGUGGUAAAUUUCAUCUAAAGCUAAAUACUGGCCGGAGACCGAUAGCGCACAAGUAGAGUGAUCGAAAGAUGAAAAGCACUUUGAAAAGAGAGUUAAAUAGCACGUGAAAUUGUUGAAAGGGAAGCGUUGUCCACCAGACUCGCCCGGGGGGGCUCAGCCGGCACGUGUGCCGGUGUACUCCUCUCCGGGCGGGCCAGCAUCGGUUUGGGCGGCUGGUGAAAGGCCCCGGGAAUGUACCACCCUUCGGGGUGCCUUAUAGCCCGGGGUGCCAUGCAGCCAGCCUGGACCGAGGCCCGCGCUUCGGCGAGGAUGCUGGCGUAAUGGUGGUCAACGGCCCGUCUUGAAACACGGACCAAGGAGUCUAACAUCUAUGCGAGUGUUCGGGUGUCAAACCCGUCCGCGCAGUGAAAGCGAACGGAGGUGGGAGCCCCUCGGGGCGCACCAUCGACCGAUCCUGAUGUCUUCGGAUGGAUUUGAGUAAGAGCAUAGCUGUUGGGACCCGAAAGAUGGUGAACUAUGCCUGAAUAGGGCGAAGCCAGAGGAAACUCUGGUGGAGGCUCGCAGCGGUUCUGACGUGCAAAUCGAUCGUCAAAUUUGGGUAUAGGGGCGAAAGACUAAUCGAACCAUCUGGUAGCUGGUUCCUGCCGA
rnacentral:rRNA from 1 species